rnacentral:rRNA from 1 species
GACGAACGCUGGCGGCGUGCUUAACACAUGCAAGUCGAACGGAAAGGCCCUGCUUUUGUGGGGUGCUCGAGUGGCGAACGGGUGAGUAACACGUGAGUAACCUGCCCUUGACUUUGGGGUAACUUCAGGAAACUGGGGCUAAUACCGGAUAGGAGCUCCUGCUGCAUGGUGGGGGUUGGAAAGUUUCGGCGGGUGGGGAUGGACUCGCGGCUUAUCAGCUUGUUGGUGGGGUAGUGGCUUACCAAGGCUGUGACGGGUAGCCGGCCUGAGAGGGUGACCGGCCACAUUGGGACUGAGAUACGGCCCAGACUCCUACGGGAGGCAGCAGUGGGGAAUAUUGCACAAUGGGCGGAAGCCUGAUGCAGCAACGCCGCGUGCGGGAUGACGGCCUUCGGGUUGUAAACCGCUUUCGCCUGUGACGAAGCGUGAGUGACGGUAAUGGGUAAAGAAGCACCGGCUAACUACGUG